rnacentral:tRNA from 1 species
AGGGAUGUGGCUCAGUGGUAGAGCACUUGCCUAGCAUGCACAAGGCCCUGGGUUCAAUCCCCACCACUA